UACGUAGGCAGCAAGCGUUGUUCGGAGUUACUGGGCGUAAAGGGUGUGUAGGCGGUUGUUUAAGUUUGGUGUGAAAUCUCCCGGCUCAACCUGGGAAUGGCAUUUGAUACUCUGAGGCUGGAGUACGGGAGAGGAGAGUGGAAUUCCCAGUGUAGAGGUGAAAUUCGUAGAUAUUGGGAAGAACACCGGUGGCGAAGGCGGCUCUCUGGACCGUAACUGACGCUGAGGCGCGAAAGCGUGGGGAGCAAACAGG
rnacentral:rRNA from 1 species